rnacentral:rRNA from 1 species
UACGUAGGGUGCGAGCGUUAAUCGGAAUUACUGGGCGUAAAGCGUGCGCAGGCGGUUUUGUAAGCCAGAUGUGAAAUCCCCGGGCUCAACCUGGGAAUGGCAUUUGGGACUGCAAGGCUGGAGUGCGGCAGAGGAGACUGGAAUUCCUGGUGUAGCAGUGAAAUGCGUAGAUAUCAGGAGGAACACCGGUGGCGAAGGCGGGUCUCUGGGCAGUAACUGACGCUGAGGAGCGAAAGCUAGGGGAGCAAACGGG